UUGUAGACCUAGUUCAUUGCACACAAGUUCUAAGGUAUCUAAUACGUGCCAAUUCACUAUUGUAUAAUACCGUGUGAUACGCAAAGAAGCGGCUGAUACAUGUGGCCUGCGUGGCAUCUGUAACCAUUCACUAUGACGAAGGCAGGCCCUCCUGCCGAAACGUUAGUAAAACUUGUGUUUCGCA
rnacentral:lncRNA from 1 species